rnacentral:rRNA from 1 species
CAGUCGCCGCGGGAAUACGGAGGGUGCAAGCGUUAAUCGGAAUUACUGGGCGUAAAGCGCACGCAGGCGGUUUGUUAAGUCAGAUGUGAAAUCCCCGAGCUUAACUUGGGAACUGCAUUUGAAACUGGCAAGCUAGAGUCUUGUAGAGGGGGGUAGAAUUCCAGGUGUAGCGGUGAAAUGCGUAGAGAUCUGGAGGAAUACCGGUGGCGAAGGCGGCCCCCUGGACAAAGACUAACGCUCAGGUGCGAAAGCGUGGGGAGCAAACAGGAUUAGAUACCCGUGUAGUCCCUGUCUCUUAUAC